rnacentral:rRNA from 1 species
UACGUAGGGUGCGAGCGUUGUCCGGAAUUAUUGGGCGUAAAGGGCUCGUAGGCGGUCUGUUGCGUCAGGAGUGAAAAACUCGGGGCUUAACCCCCGAGCCUGCUUCUGAUACGGGCAGACUAGAGGUAUGCAGGGGAGAACGGAAUUCCUGGUGUAGCGGUGAAAUGCGCAGAUAUCAGGAAGAACACCCGUGGCGAAGGCGGCUCUCUGGGACGGUACUGACGCUGAGACGCGAAAGCGUGGGAGCGAACAGG